GACCAGGCGUAUGUGGAUUGGAAUCGGGUCGGACCAUUUCUAAACCGAUGGUGGAUUUGAGAAAUAAAAUAGGGAUCAUAUUAUAACAAGGGGGUUAGGGCUGCGAACAAUCAGAGAGACAGAGAGAGAGAGCGCAAUAGAAGAAAACUGUGUGUGUUGAUCAAAAAAAGGUUAAGCAUUAAGCAAAUGGCGUUGAUGAAGGGAGAGCCAUUGGUGAGGAAGGUGGCGCUGAUAGCUAAAUAUGUAGUGUUCCCUGGAGCUAUGGCUGCCGCCGUGAUCUAUUCUCCUCCCACUUACGCUUCUUAUUAUUCAAAGUCCCAAUCUUCUUCUUCCAAAUAAACCCCAUGUCGCUUAUUUUUGCUUUUCUUUAUGGAGAUCUUUUUAACUUGAAGAAUGCUUCUGGUUCCAGUAGUCUACUGAUAUGUUCUAUUUGUCGUUGACGUGGCAUGUAAUAAUCCAAGGGCAGCUUUUUUCUGUACUCAAACUAUGAACAUUUGAAAAUCGGAAUACUCCAUAAUUUUCAAAAUAUCAGUUGAGCUCGGUCCCUUUUAUUAUCA